AUCAUAUAAAAAAAUUCAAAGUAAAUAGUUGAUAUUAAAGUUUAUGAAUGACAUAAAAUGUUUUGAUUAAAUUAAAAAUACUUAUAAUUCUUUUAAGAAACAUUGAUCAAACAAAACAAAUGAUCUUUGUGAUAAAGUUGCAAAUGAUUUGAGAAAAAUGUUAUUUUUUGCUAUUAUUAUUUCUUCCACGACCAUCAUUGCACCCUUCUUCCUCUGCCUACACCGGUGGUCGUCGUUCAUCACUUUCUUUUUCCUUUAUUGACAUCUCCACCCAUAACUUCAUCC
rnacentral:lncRNA from 1 species